AUGAACGCUGGCGGCGUGCCUAAUACAUGCAAGUCGAGCGAACAGAUGAGGAGCUUGCUCCUCUGACGUUAGCGGCGGACGGGUGAGUAACACGUGGAUAACCUACCUAUAAGACUGGGAUAACUUCGGGAAACUGGAGCUAAUACCGGAUAAUAUAUUGAACCGCAUGGUUCAAUAGUGAAAGACGGUUUUGCUGUCACUUAUAGAUGGAUCCGCGCCGCAUUAGCUAGUUGGUAAGGUAACGGCUUACCAAGGCAACGAUGCGUAGCCGACCUGAGAGGGUGAUCGGCCACACUGGAACUGAGACACGGUCCAGACUCCUACGGGAGGCAGCAGUAGGGAAUCUUCCGCAAUGGGCGAAAGCCUGACGGAGCAACGCCGCGUGAGUGAUGAAGGUCUUCGGAUCGUAAAACUCUGUUAUUAGGGAAGAACAAAUGUGUAAGUAACUAUGCACGUCUUGACGGUACCUAAUCAGAAAGCCACGGCUAACUACGUG
rnacentral:rRNA from 1 species